rnacentral:lncRNA from 1 species
GCUACUCAUAGAAGAAAAACUCGAGUUUGCUCAGAUACUCAAUCUAUUCGAUCAUUUAUAGUACAAGAUCAAUGAUCGAUGCCUCCUCUCUUAUUCGAGCAUUGAAGAUAGCACAACUAGUUUUGUACCUCUCAAUGUCAUUAGGAGUGCCGAAGGACUAGUUCCACACUUGCAGUAUGUCCUUCGACUGAGCAUCCUCAAACUUAUGAUAGAACUCAUCGUUCAUCAUCAUCUGCAUGAUGC